rnacentral:rRNA from 1 species
GUUGUUGCUGGUCCUCAACGGGGGCAUGUGCACGCUCUGUUCACACAUCCACUCACACCUGUGCACCCUCUGUAGUUCUGUGGCCUGGGGGCUCUGUCCUCUUGCCAUGGUACUAUGUCUUUACACACACACCGUUAUAAAGUCUCAUGGAAUGUACAUAGCGUUUAACGCAAUACAAUACAACUUUCAGCAACGGAUCUCUUGGCUCUCGCAUCGAUGAAGAACGCAGCGAAAUGCGAUAAGUAAUGUGAAUUGCAGAAUUCAGUGAAUCAUCGAAUCUUUGAACGCACCUUGCGCCCUUUGGCUAUUCCGAAGGGCAUGCCUGUUUGAGUAUCAUGAACACCUCAACUCUCACGGUCUACCCGUGAUGAGCUUGGACUUUGGAGGUCUUGCUGGCCAGUGGCCAGCUCCUCUCAAAUGAAUCAACUUGCCAGUGUUUGGCGGCACCACAGGUGUGAUAACUAUCUACGCUUGUGGUUUCCUGCCAGGUGUCCCUUCAGCAAUGGGGGGUUCGCUGGAGCUCAUAAAUGUCUCUCCACAGAGAGGACAACCUCUUGAACGUUUGAUCUCAAAUCAGGUAGGACUACCCGCUGAACUUAAGCAUAUCAAUAAGCGGAGGAAAAGAAACUAACAAGGAUUCCCCUAGUAACU